GACGAACCGUGCGAACGUUGUUCGGAAUCACUGGGCUUAAAGCGCGUGUAGGCGGGACGGCACGUCGGUCGCUGAAAGCCCCCGGCUCAACCGGGGAACGGGCGCCGAUACGACCGCCCUCGAGGAACGUAGGGGGACCUGGAACUUCCGGUGGAGCGGUGAAAUGCGUAGAGAUCGGCAGGAACACCCAGGGGGAAACCAGCCGCCUGGGCAUGCGCUGACGCUGAGGUGCGAGAGCGUGGGGAGCGAACCGG
rnacentral:rRNA from 1 species